rnacentral:tRNA from 1 species
GGGGUUGUAGCUCAGUGGUAGAGCGCUUGCCUAGCACAUGCAAGCCACUGGGUUCGAUCCUCAGCACCACA